AUAAAUAACUUUCGCCCUUCCUCUAAACAACAAGCAAACGGCAUAGCAAAUAGACAUCGCAUUUCUUCGUGCAUUAUAAAAACUGUAUCACGGAGCUGUUCGUAAAACGAAGUGCAUUUGCUGAUAAUAAACCGGUUGAUGUUAACUGUUUUGUACUAUUUCAUCAUUUUAAAUAAAAUUAUCGAUAAUUGUAAAGAACAAGUGAUAUAUUAGUGGCUUUAAAAAACGAUAAAGUAUUUAAUUUAAAUCAAAAUUAUACGCGUGCAAAAUGAAAUUAAUUUCAAGUGAUUACACAUUUACAUGCAAGAUAUUAACUGGACGAUAUAACUUAUUGUAUUUGUCAACUCAUUCGCAAAUUAAGGAACGACAAUGAGCGGUACAUUUAUUUUAUUAUGAAGUAUCCACGGAAAUUGGUCAGAACUGCAAUUGAAUCUCCAUAAUCGAUUCUGCUGGAGAUGUCCUUUCGGAUUAGUGCAAAAUAUAACAUCAUCUAACUGUUAAUAAAAAAAGUUCAAACACAGAAACGGAAUUGAAUAUGUUUACCUACUACGUAUUAGAAGAGAUCUCCACACUAUUCCACCUGUGGCCAUAUUCAACAUACAGAAUCACUAUUCUCGCAUUCCAAAUUGCGCUCCCAAUGGCACCGGGGCUGCAUUUUGAAGUCUACAGUGUUUACCUGUUUGCUCAUUCACCGCAAAGCUCUA